rnacentral:rRNA from 1 species
GAUGAACGCUGGCGGCGUGCCUAAUACAUGCAAGUCGAGCGAACGGACGAGAAGCUUGCUUUUCUGAUAUUAGCGGCGGACGGGUGAGUAACACGUGGAUAACCUACCUAUAAGACUGGGAUAACUUCGGGAAACCGGAGCUAAUACCGGAUAAUAUUUUGAACCGCAUGGUUCAAAAGUGAAAGACGGUCUUGCUGUCACUUAUAGAUGGAUCCGCGCUGCAUUAGCUAGUUGGUAAGGUAACGGCUUACCAAGGCAACGAUGCAUAGCCGACCUGAGAGGGUGAUCGGCCACACUGGAACUGAGACACGGUCCAGACUCCUACGGGAGGCAGCAGUAGGGAAUCUUCCGCAAUGGGCGAAAGCCUGACGGAGCAACGCCGCGUGAGUGAUGAAGGUCUUCGGAUCGUAAAACUCUGUUAUUAGGGAAGAACAUAUGUGUAAGUAACUGUGAACAUCUUGACGGUACCUAAUCAGAAAGCCACGGCUAACUACGUG